rnacentral:rRNA from 1 species
GCCCAGACUCCUACGGGAGGCAGCAGUGAGGAAUAUUGGUCAAUGGGCGAGAGCCUGAACCAGCCAAGUCGCGUGAGGGAGUACUGCCCUAUGGGUUGUAAACCUCUUUUGUCGGGGAGCAAAAGCCGGACGUGUCCGGCUGUGAGAGUACCCGAAGAAAAAGCAUCGGCUAACUCCGUGCCAGCAGCCGCGGUAAUACGGAGGAUGCGAGCGUUAUCCGGAUUUAUUGGGUUUAAAGGGUGCGUAGGCGGGACGGUAAGUGAGGGGUAAAAAGGCGGAGCUCAACGCCGUCGAGCCGUUGAAACUGCCGUUCUUGAGUGAGCGAGAAGUAUGCGGAAUGCGUGGUGUAGCGGUGAAAUGCAUAGAUAUCACGCAGAACUCCGAUUGCGAAGGCAGCAUACCGGCGCUCAACUGACGCUGAAGCACGAAGGCGUGGGUAUCGAACAGGAUUAGAUACCCUAGUA